UUUAUUGUAAUAAAUAAUAAAAUGGCCAUGAUAUGUCAUCCGAAAUUAAGGAAACAUGCUGAAUUGAAAUACUGGCUUCUCCGACAACAAUGCUACAGACACUAUGUUCUUCUUUCUAUUCCCAUCCGCUGCCUAUUUCGACACCCCGUUGCCACAUAUGAAACUAAUUGGCUCGCAAACAGCCUUCUGCAGCCAUGGAAGCAAGCUAGAGAUAACGUUAACUUUAGAUUCUACCUGACCUGAAAAGCCUCGGCACAUCUCUCUGUGGCCCGUGAGCAGCUGGGUUAUCAAGACAGCGAGUAUUUGAGACACACAGUCGGUGAAAUGAUUCUGACUACUGCUGCUGGCCGGAGGCUAACGCGGUCGUAUCUAGAAGGUAACCCUCAAACUGCAAAAACCUGCGCUCAGAAACCUCUUUAAGUCUGCUCGGAAAUAUCUGAAGAUAUGUAGAUUGUUUUGUGCUAACAUUUUUUUCUGGGACUGAAUUCUAUGUUGUCUGAGUAAUGUCUGAGAGGACUGAAAGAAAAAUGGUAGAUGUGCAGAGCUGCAAACUUCUUGACACCGAAGGUCAGCAGGCAUUAAAAUAGGAAUGAAGAACCUGCUUGUUGUUAAGAAAUUCAAACUUGUAUUGGCAUAGCUUUCAAAAUGAUUCAAAACGACUUGUUUUGUAAUCGUAAACGUUCAUUUUCCUUCUCCAUCAGUGGAUAAUUCAAAUGCCUACUCAAGGGAAACAUGUUUGCAGGAGAUGCUGGUGAACUAUGCGCGGUAAUAGACAGAAUCAAGGCUGAUGCGGAUCCAAAAGAAAGCCAGUGUGGGUGGUGGAGCUCUGAUGUAAUUUUCCUCUUUCUUAUGGGCUCUUAAACUGCAUCUUAUACUAAAAAGAUGUGCUCAGAGUUGUGUUAGUGCAGCACACACACUGCUCAAGGGUCCUCAAGGAGAAAUUGUUAUUGCUAUACGCACUAUGGAAUCAUCUGAUAGACUAGAUAAAGAGUGAUUUAUCCCGCAGGCCCUCCCCUUUCCUUUGACUCCAGCAGAACAAUCACAGUAAUUCUUCUGGAUGUCCAGACUGUCACUUCUGUAAUCAGGGCCUGCCACACUCCGGAGUCAGGAGCCCACUCUUUUGGAACAUUCCACAUUCAAGGUCCAUUAGCUCCGAGCGGCAUGCCGCUUCACUCUACUAUAUAGCGUGUCCUUGAAAGAAAACGGCUGGAGAACCAUGAAAUGUUGGUCACAUAUCGGGGGGUUCCUGUUUGGGUGCUCCUUGAGACAGAGAAUGUCUUUUGACGAUCCCCAGAGAAAGAGGCUCGUCUGUGCUGCGUCUGCGUAGGUGGAGAGAAACAGUUGCAGUGUGAUUCUCCGGCUGUGAAAAAAGUCGGACUGCUGACAGAAGAAGAAGAAGUAACUGUGUGUGCUAUCAGGAGUUAAAUACCCAAAACCUGACAUUGCAUUGAUGUUUGAGCGGUAUCAGAGUCCACUGUAGCUGCACUCAAGGUUCACGUCCGGUCAUCUGGUUGUCUGCAGGAGGAAGAAAAAUACACCAACAAACAACAAAAUGGGCACUGGAAUGGAAACACAUCUACAACUGGGCUGCGGUUUGAAAAGUCUUUUUCUCUUAGGAAGGUUCCUAACAGAGGGAAAUGAUCCGGAAGUAUCUCAGUAUCAUCUGUGAUAAGAGCUGUUUGAAUUCUCUAAAUGUUAAGGAUAGGAGCUUCAAUGCGUCCCUUAUUAUCUCCAUUAACAUAGGAUACACUUGAGCA